UACGAAGGGUGCAAGCGUUACUCGGAAUUACUGGGCGUAAAGCGUGCGUAGGCGGUUCGUCGCGUCGGCUGUGAAAUCCCGAGGCUCAACCUCGGGUCUGCAGUCGAUACGGGCGGACUGGAGUUCGGCAGGGGAGACUGGAAUUCCGUGGUGUAGGCGGUGAAAUGCGCAGAUAAUCAGGAGGAACACCGGCGGCGAAGGCGGCACUCUGGGCCGGUACUGACGCUGAGGAGCGAAAGCGUGGGUAGCAAACAGG
rnacentral:rRNA from 1 species